CCAGGAGAACAAAGGGCUCGGGGCAGGCAGGCCUCGGUAUCUCCGAGUGAGCAAUGCUUCCAGCCUUGCACAAUCGGCACAUCGCUCAUAUCUGGAAUACCUGAGACCCGGUCAGGUUGGCUACAUGCCUGAAGAAAUGACAAAAGUGCGUUUUCUUCAUCUUGACCUGGAUUUGUAACACCUGGCCACCAGUACCUCUCAGGGAAGGAAGCAGCUGGCAAGGGGAAUGCAGAUUCCAGGAAGCAAGGCCCCACACCACCAGCCAGGCACUUUCCUAAAUGGCGUCUUCAUCCCAGUCUGGAGACAAAACACUCUGAAGGCUCAGGCAGCAGUGGGGUGGCAGAGUUGGGAAAGGAGGAAAGGCAAACCAAUUCACAGCUGAACCUAGAACAGCGCUGCUUCCCUCAUGAGUAGGAUGGCACCGCCUAAAGGCAUCCAACAUUAAUCACCACCUCCACAGAAAUGCAUGCUCCUUUUAUGGAAACGCAGCAUUCAGAGUUUUACAACAUUUGUACCACAGAAGGAAAGACCAGUGCUGAUUUGGUGCCAAACUCAACUGUAAAUACAAGGUGUUUUUUUCAUUGGUAAUUACAGAUGAGAACUUCACUUCUGGCAUACACACCAUAAGGCAUUCUUGGUUUACACAUUUAAAUAAACAUACUCACCAUGGGUUCUAAUUUC